rnacentral:rRNA from 1 species
AGUGAACGCUGGCGGUAGGCUUAACACAUGCAAGUCGAACGGCAGCACAGUAAGAGCUUGCUCUUAUGGGUGGGGAGUGGCGGACGGGAGAGGUAUAUAUCGGACUCUACUUUUUCGUGGGGGAUAACGUAGGGAAACUUAAUCUAAUACCGCAUACGCUCUACGGGUGAAAGCAGGGGAUAUUCGCAGCUUGCGGGGUUGAAUGAGCCGCUGUGGGUUUGGCUAGUUGGCGGGGUAAUUGCCCAGCCAGGCGACGAUCCGUAGCCGGUCUGAGUGGAUGGUAGGCGGCACGGGAGCGGAGACACGGACCAGACUCCUGCGAGAGGCACCAGUCUGGAAUAGGGGACAAUAGGGGCAAGCCUGAUCCAGCCGGACCGCGUGUGUGAAGAAGGCCUUCGGGUUGGAAAGCCCUUCUGUGGGGAGAGAAAAGCAGCAGGUUGAUACGACGCGGGUCUGACGGUACUGAAAGAAUAAGCACCGGCUAACUUCGUG